UGGGGAAUAUUGGACAAUGGGGGCAAGCCUGAUCCAGCCAUGCCGCGUGGGUGAAGAAGGCCCUAGGGUUGUAAAUCCCUUUCAGCGGGGAAGAUAAUGACGGUACCCGCAGAAGAAGCCCCGACUAACUUCGUGCCAGCAGCCGCGGUAAUACGAAGGGGGCUAGCGUUGUUCGGAAUUACUGGGCGUAAAGCGCGCGUAGGCGGACUGGUCAGUUGGGGGUGAAAUCCCGGGGCUCAACCUCGGAACUGCCUUCAAUACUGCCAGUCUCGAGUCCGGGAGAGGUGAGUGGAAUUCCUAGUGUAGAGGUGAAAUUCGUAGAUAUUAGGAAGAACACCAGUGGCGAAGGCGGCUCACUGGCCCGGUACUGACGCUGAGGUGCGAAAGCGUGGGGAGCAAACAGGAUUAGAUACCCCCGUAGUCC
rnacentral:rRNA from 1 species